AAAUAAAAUAAAAAUAAUAAUAAUAAUAAAAAAGAAAAAUUGAAAAAAGAAAAAGACCUUUCCAUAUUUACUUCUCUCCCUUUAAUAUACAACACACAGUAAAAUAUACAUUACAAAGAAGCAUUGAUAUUAUUGACAUUGAACAAAGUAUAAAAGAUUUUAAGGCUUUGGCAUUAUUGAAGAUCUAAGUUACAUUUCAGGUCUUUACAACAAAAAAUAAUAAAAAGAAGUUUCACAGAAAAAAAAAAAAGUUUAAAAAUUGUCCAGAAAAAUAAAUCGAUUUAUUAGGAAAUAUUUGUCUUCUAUAAAAACCAAAUAACACAUCUUUAAACACCAAAGAAAAAAAAAACACAAAUAAGUAACUCACAGCUACAACAGACAUUAACAACAACACAAAAAUGAUGAAGAACCAGGAAAAUGGUUACACAAAAGAGGUUAUGUGCAUUUCUUCACUCAUACACAUUCUCAAUGGUAACUGAAAAUAAAUAAAGUGAAUAGUGAUUAAUAAUAAGCUCGGGAGGAGACGGUAAAGGGGGCUGUAAGAGGCCACUAAAAAUCUACAAUUUUUAUCAUUUAGAAACAUAAAUAUAUUUGUAUAAAGUCUUAUAUAAGAAAUAAUAUUAAAAAAACUCCCAUCUAUCUAUAUUUUGUGCUCUCCGUCCAAUUCAGUACAUAACUGAACUCACACAAUGAAACAUAACUCUGUGGUCCCAAUAUGACAGUUUUCAUAUUUUGUACUUGUGCAUUAAAGGGGUCAUAUGAUGCUGCUAAAAAGAACAUUAUUUUGUGUAUUUGGUGUGUGGAAUUACAAAUAUUUAAAAUCUUAAAUCUAGGUUCCAAUGUAAUAGUUUAUAAACUAAAAAAGUUAUGUACAUUGUGUUUUACAUUUUGAGGUAAAAAAAGGAUCAAAUCAGGAAGCCCAGGUGUCUGAGAUAAUGAUCUUUUGUCUUUGUGCUCUUCCUUGCCAUUUGGCUUUUUAAGACUGAUUGGAUUAGCACCUAUGCAUUUGAAGGACACUGUUAUGCUGAUGAGAUCAGCGAUGGGGAAACUCCUGUAACAGGAGUUUCCUGUACUGCAUUUGCAUGCUUUGCUUAGAUGGUCUCCACCUCUAUGUAUGCCUCCCCCUUGAAAUGUAUAUAAACCACAAUGUAUCAAUGACUAGUUAGACUUUUGAUGACUUCAGCGCCAUCCAGCGCGUUCUCAAUAAAGAAUUCUGCUGAAGAUUACCCAAGAGUCUCCUGGUCUUCACUUUUGAGUUUCCAACAGGUGUAAUGAAAUGUGUUUAUGCGGUUUAAGGUUUAAAAAAACACAUUAUUUUCCACAUACUGUACAUUAUUGUUUCUCCUCUAUGCCCCGCCUUCUGAAACGUGUCGAUUUUCACAAAGCUUAUCACUCUGAAAAGCGAGGUGUGCUGUGAUUGGCCAGCUAUCCAGUGCGUUGUUAUUGGCCGAAUGCCUCAAGGAUGUGACGGAAAUGCUACACCCCUCACCAUACUGUGAUGCCCUGUCCGGCCGGAGCGAAGAGACGUAAACAUAAAACCCAUUAUAAACGUGAUAUAAACAUGAUUUCUAGUCGUGUUUACUUUUGGAAGGCCAAACAAAGUAGUUUUGCUUUCUCAACGAAACAACGUCACACACUGCAGCCUUGAGUGAGUGAAGACUGGAGGCCUAGAGUGAGCGGAGGCUGGAGGUCUAGAGUGAGCCGCGGUCUAGCGUGAGCGGAGGCUGCAGGUCUAGAGUGAGCCGUGGUCUAGAGUGAGCGGAGGCUGGAGGUCUAGAGUGAGCAGAGGUCUAGAGUGAGCCGCGGUCUAGAGUGAGCGGAGGUCAGAGGUCUAGAGUGAGUCGCGGUCUAGGUUGAGCGGAGGCUGCAGGUCUAGAGUGAGCAGCGGUCUAGAGUGAGCGCAGGCUGGAGGUCUAGAGUGAGCCGCGGUCUAGAGUGAGCGGAGGCUGCAGGUCUAGAGUGAGCGGAGGCUGGAGGUCUAGAGUGAGCCGCGGUCUAGAGUGAGCGGAGGCUGCAGGUCUAGAGUGAGCAGAGGCUGGUGGCUUGAGAACGGUGCGGCAGGCAGAUUCUACGAAGGAGCGUACCUUGGUCUUGCAGCAACCACAUGUGAUGACCCUGGGCUGGACGCCGCUUCGUACAUGGUGAAAGCUGAUCCUGCGAUCCACAGUGCAAAGUUGAUGUAUAUCCUCAGCGACCAGCACGGAUCAGCUCCAGGCAUAACGAAGCGGAUAUCGUCCUCUUUUGGAAGUAGUUUUGCUUUCACAUGAAACACACAGCGUCUAUACGACAUGGCGGCGGCGGCGGCAACAACAAUACUACAACGAGAAUAAAAGCUACACCUUCUUUCUUUGUGUGAACAUCUAGGCCCGUGUUAUGCAAAUCUUCACACAUACUGACGUAGAGAUGUGGGGCGUGUUAGAACAAGCCGUUUCAGGGGGGCGUGGACGAGUGUUAACUUUUAAAAGAAUAUCUCUUUGGGUUUGAGACUUUAGUCUUUGCAGCUUUACAGAUCUUCUUUAUGCACCAAGAGCUUGUAACACUCCAAAGAGAAAGGAAAAUUUGAAAUCGCAUCAUGUGACCUCUUUAAACAGGCAGCUUCCAGUAACAUGAAUGACACUCUAACAAUCAUGUUCAUGUGUUUAAAUGGAGUCAGUGUUUUAAUUAUUAGGAUGACUGUAAUCGUUCAAUCUCAGGUUUUUACAGUUCAUAGGUCACUUCUCCAGAAUAAAAAGGACAAGUUGAAUGCUUUUGGUCACUCUCCUGUACGGGCUUGCUAUCUGUAGUUUCCACUGUGGGUGAUGCCUUCUUCUUACAGCAGAAAAGAAGAAGACGAAAGCAAAUGAAGAGUGAGAAACAAAUAAAGAGUGA
ensembl:lncRNA